GUUUCAGGCACUACAGUUCAGUGAUGUAUGGUGUGCUAGAGAGAAGCGGUGGACUAACAGCCCUGAUGACUUUCAGGUUCCUGAAUAUACUGUCAAAUGCUGAAGCAUUGAACUAGCUGAAUCUUCUGCAUUAUUUCUAGUUUUCCUUUAGGCCCUUUUAAAUAUCAGAGGACUGGCACUUCUGUUACAGUGUUUUAAGGUUGCAUGUCUGGUUGGACUUGAUGCAUGGCAUUUGCAUGAAACCUAACAGCCUAUUUCUGGAUGUCUGAGCAAACAUGGCCUACCC